rnacentral:rRNA from 1 species
AUUGAACGCUGGCGGCAGGCCUAACACAUGCCAGUCGAGCGGAUGAAGGGAGCUUGCUCCUGGAUUCAGCGGCGGACGGGUGAGUAAUGCCUAGGAAUCUGCCUGGUAGUGGGGGAUAACGUCCGGAAACGGGCGCUAAUACCGCAUACGUCCUGAGGGAGAAAGUGGGGGAUCUUCGGACCUCACGCUAUCAGAUGAGCCUAGGUCGGAUUAGCUAGUUGGUGGGGUAAAGGCCUACCAAGGCGACGAUCCGUAACUGGUCUGAGAGGAUGAUCAGUCACACGGGAACUGAGACACGGUCCAGACUCCUACGGGAGGCAGCAGUGGGGAAUAUUGGACAAUGGGCGAAAGCCUGAUCCAGCCAUGCCGCGUGUGUGAAGAAGGUCUUCGGAUUGUAAAGCACUUUAAGUUGGGAGGAAGGGCAGUAAGUUAAUACCUUACUGUUUUGACGUUACCAACAGAAUAAGCACCGGCUAACUUCGUG